rnacentral:rRNA from 1 species
UACGUAGGGUGCAAGCAUUAAUCGGAUUUAUUGGGCGUAAAGGGCGCGUAGGCUGGAGGAAAAGUCAGAUGUGAAAUCCCGGGGCUCAACCUCGGAACUGCAUUUGAAACUUUCCAUCUAGAGGGUAGGCGGAGAAAAUGGAAUUCCACAAGUAGCGGUGAAAUGCGUAGAUAUGUGGAAGAACACCGGUGGCGAAGGCGAUUUUCUAGCUUACUCCUGACGCUGAAGCGCGAAAGCAAGGGGAUCAAACAGG